rnacentral:rRNA from 1 species
UGCCAGACUCCUACGGGAGGCAGCAGUGGGGGAUAUUGCACAAUGGGGGGAACCCUGAUGCAGCGACGCCGCGUGAGUGAAGAAGUAUUUCGGUAUGUAAAGCUCUAUCAGCAGGGAAGAAAAUGACGGUACCUGACUAAGAAGCCCCGGCUAACUACGUGCCAGCAGCCGCGGUAAUACGUAGGGGGCGAGCGUUAUCCGGAUUUACUGGGUGUAAAGGGGGCGCAGACGGCCAUGGCAAGCCCGGUGUGAAAGGUGCGGGCACAACCCGCAGACUGCACUGGUAACUGCCUGGCUGGAGUGCCGGAGGGGUAAGCGGAAUUCCUGGUGUAGCGGUGAAAUGCGUAGAUAUCAGGAGGAACACCGGUGGCGAAGGCGGCUUACUGGACGGCAACUGACGUUGAGGCCCGAAAGCGUGGGGAGCGAACAGGAUUAGAUACCCUGGUAA